GCCUUGGUGGCGCAAUGGAUAGCGCGUCUGGUUUCUACCCAGAAGGUUGUGGGUUCGAGUCCCACCCGAGGUG
rfam:Schistocephalus solidus strain NST_G2 genome assembly, scaffold: SSLN_scaffold0002599